rnacentral:rRNA from 1 species
UACGUAGGGGGCAAGCGUUGUCCGGAUUUAUUGGGCGUAAAGAGCGUGUAGGCGGCCAAACAGGUCAGCUGUGAAAACUCGAGGCUCAACCUCGAGACGUCGGUUGAAACCGUUUGGCUAGAGUCCGGAAGAGGAGAGUGGAAUUCCCGGUGUAGCGGUGAAAUGCGCAGAUAUCGGGAAGAACACCCGUGGCGAAGGCGGCUCUCUGGGACGGUACUGACGCUGAGGCGCGACAGCGUGGGGAUCAAACAGG